UACGUAGGGGGCAAGCGUUGUCCGGAAUCAUUGGGCGUAAAGCGCGUGUAGGCGGCUCGAUAAGUCUGCUGUGAAAGUCCAGGGCUCAACCCUGGGAUGCCGGUGGAUACUGUCGAGCUCGAGUCCGGAAGAGGCGAGUGGAAUUCCCGGUGUAGCGGUGAAAUGCGCAGAUAUCGGGAGGAACACCAAUGGCGAAGGCAGCUCGCUGGGACGGUACUGACGCUGGAGGCGCGAAAGCGUGGGGAGCAAACAGGG
rnacentral:rRNA from 1 species